rnacentral:rRNA from 1 species
AACUUGACGAAGGGAACUCAAGCCAAGUACCCCGAAACCAGACGAGCUACCUAAGGGCAGCUAAAGAGCAAACUCAUCUAUGUGGCAAAAUAGUGAGAANGACCCCUAGGUAGAGGUGAAAAGCCUAACGAGCCUGGUGAUAGCUGGUUGUCCAGAACAGAAUUUCAGUUCAACUUUAAGCCUUACCCAAAGGACCAAUUAACCCUAAUGUAGACUUAAAAUAUAAUCUAAAAGGGUACAGCCUUUUAGCAUAAGGAUACAACCUUAUGUAGAGAGUAAGUACGUAAAUCCCCAUAGUCGGCCUAAAAGCAGCCACCAAUUAAGAAAGCGUUCAAGCUCAAACAAACCCUAAAUCCCCAAUUCAAACAGUACCUACGAACUCCUACCCCAAUACUGGACCAUUCUAUGACUGCAUAGAAGAGACACUGUUAAUAUGAGUAACAAGAAUUUAUUUCUCCAUGCACUAACUUAUAUCAGAACGGAUAUACCACUGAUAGUUAACAGCAAGAUAAACUCACUCCCCAACUAAAACCUUUAUCAAACUAACUGUUGACCCAACACAGGAGUGCUAAUAGGAAAGAUUAAAAGAAGUAAAAGGAACUCGGCAAACACAAACCCCGCCUGUUUACCAAAAACAUCACCUCCAGCAUAACAACUAUUGGAGGCACUGCCUGCCCAGUGACACUUGUUUAACGGCCGCGGUAUCCUGACCGUGCAAAGGUAGCAUAAUCAUUUGUUCUCUAAAUAAGGACUUGCAUGAAUGGCCACACGAGGGUUUAACUGUCUCUUACUUCCAAUCAGUGAAAUUGACCUUCCCGUGAAGAGGCGGGAAUUACAAAAUAAGACGAGAAGACCCUAUGGAGCUUUAAUUAACUGACUUAUAAAUAAAUAAUAACUCUCCAAGGAAGCAAAAUACUUUUAAUAAGUUAGCAAUUUAGGUUGGGGUGACCUCGGAAUAUAGAACAACUUCCGAGUGAUUAAAAGCCUAGACCUACAAGUCAAAGCACCUAAUCAUUUAUUGAUCCAAAAAGCUUGAUCAACGGAACAAGUUACCCUAGGGAUAACAGCGCAAUCCUACUUGAGAGUCCAUAUCGAUAGUGGGGUUUACGACCUCGAUGUUGGAUCAGGACAUCCUAAUGGUGCAGCCGCUAUUAAUGGUUCGUUUGUUCAACGAUUAAAGUCCUACGUGAUCUGAGUNUCAGACCGGAGUAAUCCAGGUCGGUUUCUAUCUAUUCUGUGUUCCUCCCAGUACGAAAGGACAAGAGAAACGAGGCCAACUUGACAUCAAGCGCC